UCAAGACGAAGAUGAAUCAGA
rnacentral:piRNA from 1 species